AUCAAUCAGAAAUGACGAGCCCAGGAUUGUGCCAAGGAAGUGGGUAGUUGUCGUUGGGUUUGGCUAGUAAAUAAAUCAAUCAUUGUUUCUUUCCAAGAGGAGGACUAGAUACUAUAUAAAAGUUCCUGCACACCAGGUUUCCUCACUCCAUUUGACUUCUUUCCACCCGUUCGUGCCGUGGGACACGGUCUCCCAGGCACAGGUGACAAUGGGUUCCCAUCAACAGAAGGGUGAUGGACAAGGGAUGUCUGAGUCUGGUGGAUGCCAUGGCGGCGGUGGUGGAGGAGGUUCAUGCCAUGGCGGCGGUGGUGGAGGAGGUUCAUGCCAUGGUGGUGGUGGAGGUGGAUCUCAAGGAUACCAGAGCCAAGGAUCAUCUUGCCAUGGAGGAGGCAGCAGUGGCUACGGUGGAGGUGGUGGUGCCAUUUACCAGACCCACAUAUCAUCGUCCCCCUUCGGAGGAGGAGGAAGUUCAGGCUACCAGAGCCAAGGAUCCAUCGGUGGUGGCAGCGGAGGUGGAGGAGGAGGAGGUGGUGGUUCAGGCCACCAGGGUCAAGGGUCCGUCUGUAUCAUUGGGGGAGGUAGCUCAGGAGGAGGUGGCAGUGGAGGUGGUUCAUCCAGUUCUGGAGGUAUGUCCAUCCAACAACAGACCCAGCCGAUCUCCUGGCCACCACAGUCUAAACACAAGUAGUGUGUGCAGAAGGGACUCUUGGACCCAGAAAACCCAAGAUACAAACGUGCCUGACAUUUCUUUCUCUGUUAAAUUAAAGAAGAUUUGCGUUAUUCCUUUCUCCUCUUUCUUGGGGUAUUCCUGUGCAGCUUCCAUCUGACCAGGCCCUUUGGUGUCAUGUAUCACUAACCUCCAGCCAGGGUGGUUUCAGAUAUCUGUUCUCUCCCUCAAUCUUCUAGUGAAUGCACAAAACAAUAAAACUUGCAGUUCUAGAGAGCUUCA
rnacentral:lncRNA from 14 species